CCCAAGGGCGUGUCUGGCUGGCUGAAACCCUGAAAAUUAUAUCCACACAAAGCUUGAGGGCAAAGCUUGAGAAUGGUAAAGUUAAGAAGAUAGAUGCUGAUUGAAUUGUCUGAAUUCUCGACUAAAUUGAGGUCAGCAGGGAGCCACUGCCACUUGGCCAGUUUUACAGAUUAAACAUUCCUGCAUUGGUAACGAUGGAAGCAUCUGCAAAUCUUUGGAUCCAAUUUUCCAACUGCUCCAAAUGUCACAGUGCAUUCUUCCUCGCGCACUGAGAACCAUCUCCCCGUUUUCUUCAUGCGCCAGUUGAAUUGGAGCUUUCACAUCCUCUGGGAACGAGAAAUGUUGUUUUGGACUUCAGAAGGCCCUCUUGCCUUUUAUGCCGCAGUCUAGAAAAGCUGAUAGAAAUUCACUUUCUUUCAUAGCAUGCCAACGUACUCCAUCUACCUUAGUGGAAGGCAAAAGCGUGUGAGCAAAAAUGAUUAUGGCAAGCAAUAGACUGCAUUCUGGAGGAAGAAGGAAAUUAGACAGUGGAUGCUUGGCAACUGCUGGGCGUCUGCCAUGGCUGUUCUUUAUUGCGGCCAGCAACUUCCAGUUUUUCCUCUGCCUGAGAAGAGACAGAGGUAACUAGGAUGCACUAUGCGGUCUUCAGUUUGCAGGGGAACAGCUUUGUCCUGC